rnacentral:tRNA from 2 species
GGGAGAGUGGUGGAAUGGUAGACACGGUAGACUCAAAAUCUGCUGCCAGCACUGGCGUAAGGGUUCGAGUCCCUUCUCUCCUACCC